CCUACGGGUCGCACCAGUGGGGAAUAUUGCACAAUGGGCGCAAGCCUGAUGCAGCCAUGCCGCGUGUAUGAAGAAGGCCUUCGGGUUGUAAAGUACUUUCAGCGGGGAGGAAGGUGUUGUGGUUAAUAACCACAGCAAUUGACGUUACACGCAGAAGAAGCACCGGCUAACUCCGUGCCAGCAGCCGCGGUAAUACGGAGGGUGCAAGCGUUAAUCGGAAUUACUGGGCGUAAAGCGCACGCAGGCGGUCUGUCAAGUCGGAUGUGAAAUCCCCGGGCUCAACCUGGGAACUGCAUCUGAUACUGGCAAGCUUGAGUCUCGUAGAGGGGGGUAGAAUUCCAGGUGUAGCGGUGAAAUGCGUAGAGAUCUGGAGGAAUACCGGUGGCGAAGGCGGCCCCCUGGACGAAGACUGACGCUCAGGUGCGAAAGCGUGGGGAGCAAACAGGAUUAGAUACCCGGGUAGUC
rnacentral:rRNA from 1 species